AUUCCCGGGAUUCCACACAGGAAGAUCACACCAUCCCUCAGCAUGAGGAACAGAUGUAUGUGAAAGUUGAGGUUAAAGAGGAAGAAGAGGAGGUGUGUGUGAUGGAUUAUAAACAGUCUACAGAAGAGUUUGGGAUGACGGCAAACAUUAAAUGGGAGGAAUCCCUAAAUAUAAUCACAGAUGGAUCCAGUAAUGGGAACCCACCAGAGAGAUGUCCCC